UGCAUGUGGGCCUCCAUCUGUUUUGCAGUUAGGAGUUAGGUCUUCAGUGGUACAUCCUGUGACUGCCAGAUGUCCAUCUCUUUAGUUCCUCAUCGAGCCAUCCCACUUCCUGCUUGGUAGAACAAGAAUGUUCCCGGUGCCCCCACCAGGGGUUUCCCCAUUUUCAACCUCACUCACGAUGAUGCCAUUGGCCUCUAACUAAUCCAGAAGACUAAAUGUUAAAGAAGGGGUAUUCUACUGGUAAGGCUUAUUACCCAACUUCUGAUACUAAAGCCAGCUACCAAAAACAUAUCCAGCUCACCCUGGGAGUGUUUGGGUUGGAUCAUGGACGUAGCAAACACACCAAAAUCCAUGAAUACCUUUGCAGGUUAGGUUGCUCAUUUUCUUUUUGCUAGAUUUUCACAGGAAGGUCUUUAGUUCUGGAUCCUUGUAAGUAUGAGUCCUCCAUAGCAUCAUAUGCAGGUAUAGCUGGUCCAUUCUCCACACUGUAAAUAUUUUUCCCAAACUGGGUGCAGUACUGAGGGUAAUAAUCUUCUGAUUUAUCAAAUGCUGACUGUCUGGAGCAAAUCGUCCGCUCUUUGUGAAUGGUCCUGUAACGUAUAUGAACAUAUUUCUGGGUGCCUUAGAAGUUGUAUUUUUCAUGUGUGCUAAUAUGCAGUAUUUAUACAUUGUGAGAAGCUGCUUUGAAUAAAAAGAUUGAAACUUUGUCUCC
rnacentral:lncRNA from 1 species